rnacentral:rRNA from 1 species
GUGGGGAAUAUUGGGCAAUGGGGGAAACCCUGACCCAGCAACGCCGCGUGAAAGAAGAAGGUUUUCGGAUCGUAAACUUCUAUCCUUGGUGAAGAUAAUGACGGUAGCCAAGAAGGAAGCCCCGGCUAACUACGUGCCAGCAGCCGCGGUAAUACGUAGGGGGCAAGCGUUGUACGGAAUGAUUGGGCGUAAAGGGCGCGUAGGCGGCCUGGUAAGUCUGGAGUGAAAGUCCUGCUUUUAAGGUGGGAAUUGCUUUGGAUACUGUCGGGCUUGAGUGCAGGAGAGGUAAGCGGAAUUCCCGGUGUAGCGGUGAAAUGCGUAGAGAUCGGGAGGAACACCAGUGGCGAAGGCGGCUUACUGGACUGUAACUGACGCUGAGGCGCGAAAGUGUGGGGAGCAAACAGGAUUAGAAACCCCAGUAGUCC